rnacentral:hammerhead_ribozyme from 1 species
UGCCAGCUGACGAGUCCCAAAUUGGGCGAAAUGCGCGUCCUGGAU